rnacentral:rRNA from 1 species
GCCUCGUCGAGUCAUGCCCGAGGGUAGACCUCCCACCCUUGUGUAUUAUUACUUUGUUGCUUUGGCGAGCUGCCUUCGGGCCUUGUAUGCUCGCCAGAGAAUACCAAAACUCUUUUUAUUAAUGUCGUCUGAGUACUAUAUAAUAGUUAAAACUUUCAACAACGGAUCUCUUGGUUCUGGCAUCGAUGAAGAACGCAGCGAAAUGCGAUAAGUAAUGUGAAUUGCAGAAUUCAGUGAAUCAUCGAAUCUUUGAACGCACAUUGCGCCCCUUGGUAUUCCGGGGGGCAUGCCUGUUCGAGCGUCAUUUCAACCCUCAAGCUUAGCUUGGUAUUGAGUCUAUGUCAGUAAUGGCAGGCUCUAAAAUCAGUGGCGGCGCCGCUGGGUCCUGAACGUAGUAAUAUCUCUCGUUACAGGUUCUCGGUGUGCUUCUGCCAAAACCCAAAUUUUUCUAUGGUUGACCUCGGAUCAGGUAGGGAUACCCGCUGAACUUAAGCAUAUCAAUAAGCGGAGGAAAGAAU